rnacentral:rRNA from 1 species
GGCCAUGCUUCCAAGAAAAGCUUCUAAGCUUCAGGUAACCAGGAACCGUACCCCAAACCGACACAGGUGGUCGGGUAGAGAAUACCAAGGCGCUUGAGAGAACUCGGGUGAAGGAACUAGGCAAAAUGGCACCGUAACUUCGGGAGAAGGUGCGCCGGCUAGGGUGAAGGAUUUACUCCGUAAGCUCUGGCUGGUCGAAGAUACCAGGCCGCUGCGACUGUUUAUUAAAAACACAGCACUCUGCAAACACGAAAGUGGACGUAUAGGGUGUGACGCCUGCCCGGUGCCGGAAGGUUAAUUGAUGGGGUUAGCGCAAGCGAAGCUCUUGAUCGAAGCCCCGGUAAACGGCGGCCGUAACUAUAACGGUCCUAAGGUAGCGAAAUUCCUUGUCGGGUAAGUUCCGACCUGCACGAAUGGCGUAACGAUGGCGGCGCUGUCUCCACCCGAGACUCAGUGAAAUUGAAAUCGCUGUGAAGAUGCAGUGUAUCCGCGGCUAGACGGAAAGACCCCGUGAACCUUUACUGUAGCUUUGCACUGGACUUUGAGCCUGCUUGUGUAGGAUAGGUGGGAGGCUUUGAAGCGUGGACGCCAGUUCGCGUGGAGCCAUCCUUGAAAUACCACCCUGGCAUGCUUGAGGUUCUAACUCUGGUCCGUAAUCCGGAUCGAGGACAGUGUAUGGUGGGCAGUUUGACUGGGGCGGUCUCCUCCUAAAGAGUAACGGAGGAGUACGAAGGUGCGCUCAGACCGGUCGGAAAUCGGUCGCAGAGUAUAAAGGCAAAAGCGCGCUUGACUGCGAGACAGACACGUCGAGCAGGUACGAAAGUAGGUCUUAGUGAUCCGGUGGUUCUGUAUGGAAGGGCCAUCGCUCAACGGAUAAAAGGUACUCCGGGGAUAACAGGCUGAUACCGCCCAAGAGUUCAUAUCGACGGCGGUGUUUGGCACCUCGAUGUCGGCUCAUCACAUCCUGGGGCUGAAGCCGGUCCCAAGGGUAUGGCUGUUCGCCAUUUAAAGUGGUACGCGAGCUGGGUUUAGAACGUCGUGAGACAGUUCGGUCCCUAUCUGCCGUGGACGUUUGAGAUUUGAGAGGGGCUGCUCCUAGUACGAGAGGACCGGAGUGGACGAACCUCUGGUGUUCCGGUUGUCACGCCAGUGGCAUUGCCGGGUAGCUAUGUUCGGAAAAGAUAACCGCUGAAAGCAUCUAAGCGGGAAACUUGCCUCAAGAUGAGAUCUCACUGGGAACUUGAUUCCCCUGAAGGGCCGUCGAAGACUACGACGUUGAUAGGCUGGGUGUGUAAGCGUUGUGAGGCGUUGAGCUAACCAGUACUAAUUGCCCGUGAGGCUUGACC